AAAAAAAAAAAAAAAAACUGGAGUCUCUGUUUGAGGCGCGCAAGUUUUCAUAAUCGUUUCUCCACGCAGAUCUAUCAAACCAGCAUCGAUUUCAUCUCUGCAUUUUCAAAUUCCUUUAACUUCUCGGAGUUAAGGAACUCACAAAUCUGAAAUAACGGCGCGGCGACUUUCACUGCCCGCGUUUUCUGUAUUCCUGAUCUUGUUCUCUCUGCUCAACGAUUCUGUUCUCUGUAAAACACUUAAACGAGAUGUUAAAGCAUUGAAUGAGAUCAAGGCUUCUCUUGGCUGGAGAGUGGUGUAUUCAUGGGUUGGAGAUGAUCCGUGUGGCGAUGGUGAUCUUCCUGCUUGGUCCGGUGUCACUUGUUCUACUCAAGGAGAUUACAGAGAGGUUACUAAAUUGGAAGUUUAUGAGGUUUCUAUUGUCGGACCGUUUCCCACUGCUGUUACUAAUCUCUUGGAUCUUACUAGGCUGUUCUUGGACUACAACCAAUUUAGUGGGAGAAUUCCAGAUGAUUUUUACAAACAUCCAUUAUUGAAAGAGAUGUUCAUCGAGGGUAAUGCCUUUAGGCAACAAGUGAAGCCAAUAAGCAUUCACAAAGCUCUUGAAGUUUCAGACGCAGAAUUCCUCGUUUAAACCUCCACAUCCACCAUUCUUUAUUCAAUUUCAAGCUUCUUUUUUCAUGUUUAACCCAAAGCUUCUUUUCUUUUAAGUGGGAGCUUUAGCUUUACAGUUCAUACACAGUUUUGUUGGUUAGGAAUCACGA